UACGUAGGGGGCUAGCGUUGUCCGGAAUCAUUGGGCGUAAAGCGCGUGUAGGCGGCCCGGUAAGUCCGCUGUGAAAGUCGGGGGCUCAACCCUCGGAAGCCGGUGGAUACUGUCGGGCUGGAGUACGGAAGAGGCGAGUGGAAUUCCUGGGUGCAGCGGUGAAAUGCGCAGAUAUCAGGAGGAACACCUAUUGCGAAGGCAGCUCGCUGGGACGUUACUGACGCUGAGACGCGAAAGCGUGGGGAGCAAACAGG
rnacentral:rRNA from 1 species